AGAGACCAAGUGCAAACACUACUAUUUUGUCUAUAUUUAAACGUUUCGAAUUACAGGCAUGUCGUCCGUAUAUAGCCACCCCCGUAUACAAGCCUUCUCAUGUACAAGCCCUGCAAAAAAUGCUUACGAACGCUUACGAGGUUUACGGUAUCCGAUCAAGAAUUAUAAAACAUUUCGGAAAAAUUAAGAAAAUGCAUUAGUAAUAGUUCGCCUCAUGAAAAAUCAUUUCAGUCGUUUUUCCCGCGUUUCUCUUCGAUGCAAGUUCAUUGAAGUUUAUGAACAUCCAAAAAAAGCGGCCCUACUAAAUUGACAUAAAUAUUAUGUAUUAAGUUUUUAAUUGUUGUGGAUUUUAUCGUUACUAUCUUUGCUGUCCGUGUUCAGACUUCGUAUAUACAUGGCUUCACAAUACAAUUUGGCUUGUCCU